UACGAAGGGGGCUAGCGUUGUUCGGAUUUAUUGGGCGUAAAGCGCACGUAGGCGGCUUGUUAAGUCGGAUGUGAAAGCCCUGGGCUCAACCCAGGAAGUGCAUUCGAUACUGGCAAGCUUGAGUAUGGAAGAGGGUCGCGGAAUUCCCGGUGUAGAGGUGAAAUUCGUAGAUAUCGGGAGGAACACCAGUGGCGAAGGCGGCGACCUGGGCCAAUACUGACGCUGAGGUGCGAAAGCGUGGGGAGCAAACAGG
rnacentral:rRNA from 1 species